CCAAAGGCUCUUUUAAGAGCCACCCACUCCAUCUAAGAAAGAGCUG
rfam:Danio rerio chromosome 7, GRCz11 reference primary assembly.